rnacentral:rRNA from 1 species
UACGAAGGGGGCUAGCGUUGCUCGGAAUGACUGGGCGUAAAGGGCGCGUAGGCGGCUUGCACCGUCAGAUGUAAAAUUCCUGGGCUUAACCUGGGGGCUGCAUUUGAUACGUGUGGGCUUGAGUGCGGAAGAGGGUCGUGGAAUUCCCAGUGUAGAGGUGAAAUUCGUAGAUAUUCGCAAGAACACCAGUGGCGAAGGCGGCUCACUGGCCCGAUACUGACGCUGAGGUGCGAAAGCGUGGGGAGCAAACAGGG